AAGACGGCAAAGAAGAACGAAACGUGACGUCAAAGACUGGCUGUCCCCAAAAGCUCUUAAUUCAAGCUUCGAUUUUUUUGUUUCUUUUUCUUAUUUAAAGCGCCUUUCUAGGCUAUCCAGAGAAUAAACGGUGUCAAAAGUGACAGCAUCAUGAUAGUCAGCAGACGAACUCUGGACAGGAUUUAUUCUGCGGUUUUGUUUGCUGUUGUGCUUUUGUCGUGGUCAUACGUCAUAUACGCCAGCAGGCUUGCAGCUCAUUGGCUGCUGGAUAAGAAGACCGCCCCUCUGCGCCAUGAUUGACAGCCUUCAAUAGGGGUCGGUGGUUCAAAGGUCCCCGACGUGGAGCGUGCCCGGCAGGGAGGACCCCAUCUCUCGCUCUUUGGCCGUCUCCAUGGGAACGCUUUUGCCGUCAAACUCCUUGGAGGUCUUCCCGUCCAGCCAGUAUGUCACCAUGUCGCCUUUGCCCUGACGAGGAGACGCUCGCCGUUAGCGGCCGUCGGCAUCCGAGCGGCGCCCCAUGGGACCGGACGGCGCUCACCUUCACCUGCAGCGUUCCUCGGCACACCAGCACGUAGCCGCCAAUCUCCUCCAGCAGGUGGUCACCUGAAGACGUCUCCAGCCAGCGUCGGCUCCACGUUGGCGUCUUGAAACUCGGGAGGCAUGUACACUUCCUGGAGUCUCUGCUGAUAGGUGGAGAGAGGCUCCACCCAUUCCCCUCUGCGAUACACCCUCAGCCCGUAAUCUGCCGGUACGAGAGGAACGGCGGCGGCGGUCAAAGGUACGCCAUCCCUCUUGCGAUGUCCGUGGCGAAGGAGAACCUGUGGAGGGCCGACGACGUGGCCGCCUUGAAGCGAAAGCAUCUUGAGGAGAACUUACCUGAAGCCCCAGUUGAGCGGAAUCUCCUCGUUGAGGAGGACGUCGUUGAGGCUCCCUUUGGGGCAGUACUCGGUCACUAUGGCGACGCUCGGCACUUGGACGCAGCCGCCGAUGAACUUGCACAGGUUUGGGUGGUCCAACUCCCUGAACACAUGCAGGCUCCGUUUGGAAUCACUGCAUAUCAACUCUAUCGGUGGUACUCACACUUUUUACACAAAGUAGCACCUCCAAAAAUAAUUUCCUUAGCUCUCCAAGUACCACCUUCUUUUCGGCAAUAAAGUACAGUACCUUUGUAGGCUCAUAUAGUCUCAUAAAAAACAGAAAACAAAAAACUCUACUUAAUGAUUCGAUAAGAAGGCAUCACACACAAACGUGAAAUAAAACAAUGUACCUAAAUAUUUGAAGAAGAAAAAAAAAUGGAAGAUGCAAUUGUAUUUAAAGUUAAAUGUAACUGAGCUGUACUUAGGCAGAGUUUUGAUGUACCAUUAUAGGGAGCCUGCAUACCACAAGUGGUACCCUAUUGUAGUGCUGUGUGAAAGUGUAGUAAAUAUUAAUAUAUAGUGCCCUCAAUGUAUCCCACGUGACAAAUUGAGUUGUGGCGUGUAAACAUCGUUUAGGUAGAGCAACACAUCACAACAUGGAUGGACAUUGAAGUGCUUUGUUUGUAUGAUGUAAAAUACACUCAGCUUAAAACAAAA